UACAGAGGUCUCAAGCGUUGUUCGGAUUCAUUGGGCGUAAAGGGUGUGUAGGUGGCGCGCUAAGUCGGGUGUGAAAUUUCGGAGCUUAACUCCGAAACUGCAUUCGAUACUGGCGUGCUUGAGGACUGGAGAGGAGACUGGAAUUCAUGGUGUAGCAGUGAAAUGCGUAGAGAUCAUGAGGAAGACCAGUGGCGAAGGCGGGUCUCUGGGCAACAACUGACGCUGAGGAGCGAAAGCGUGGGGAGCGAACAGG
rnacentral:rRNA from 1 species